rnacentral:rRNA from 1 species
AUUAAUUGAGGGUUUGAUCCUGGCUCAGGACGAACGCUGGCGGCGCGCCUAACACAUGCAAGUCGAGCGGAGAUAUUAGUAAUAAUAUCUUAGCGGCGGACGGGUGAGUAACGCGUGGGCAACCUGCCUUAAAGAGGGGAAUAACUUAGGGAAACUUAAGAUAAUACCGCAUAACACUAUAGUAGAGCAUUCUACAGUAGUCAAAGGAGCAAUCCGCUUUAAGAUGGGCCCGCGUCUGAUUAGCUAGUU